AUCAUGUUAACACAUCGGUUCUUGUACGAUCACCGAAGUUAAGCAACGUCGAGCCAGGUCAGUACCUAAAUGGGUGACCACCUGCGAACACCAGGUGCUGUGA